rnacentral:rRNA from 1 species
AUUGAACGCUGGCGGCAUGCUUUACACAUGCAAGUCGAACGGUAACAGGCCGCAAGGUGCUGACGAGUGGCGAACGGGUGAGUAAUGCAUCGGAACGUGCCCAGUCGUGGGGGAUAACUACUCGAAAGAGUAGCUAAUACCGCAUACGAUCUAUGGAUGAAAGCGGGGGACCGUAAGGCCUCGCGCGAUUGGAGCGGCCGAUGUCAGAUUAGGUAGUUGGUGGGGUAAAGGCUCACCAAGCCAACGAUCUGUAGCUGGUCUGAGAGGACGACCAGCCACACUGGGACUGAGCCACGGCCCAGACUCCUGCGGGAGGCAGCAGUGGGGAAUUUUGGACAAUGGGCGCAAGCCUGAUCCAGCAAUGCCGCGUGCAGGAAGAAGGCCUUCGGGUUGUAAACUGCUUUUGUACGGAACGAAACGGCUCUGGUUAAUACCCGGGGCUAAUGACGGUACCGUAAGAAUAAGCACCGGCUAACUACGUG